rnacentral:rRNA from 1 species
AUGAAUAUCCUAGCCUGGAACUGUCGAGGAUUGGGGUUGGACUCGACAGUUGGCGAAUUGCGAGACCUGAUAAGGUCCUACAACCCAGCGGUGGUUUUUCUUUGUGAAACGAAGAAGAAGGCUAGGGCGAUGGAGAGGCUUAAGUGGAGUUUGGGUUUCAGAAACGGUGUGGCGGUGGAUUCUGUUGGUCAAAGUGGAGGUUUAGCAAUUUGGUGGAGAGAU